AUUGAACGCUGGCGGCAUGCUUUACACAUGCAAGUCGAACGGCAGCGCGGGCUUCGGCCUGGCGGCGAUUGGCGAACGGGUGAGUAAUGCAUCGGAACGUGCCCAGUAGUGGGGGAUAGCCCGGCGAAAGCCGGAUUAAUACCGCAUACGACCUGAGGGUGAAAGCGGGGGACCGAAAGGCCUCGCGCUAUUGGAGCGGCCGAUGUCGGAUUAGCUAGUUGGUGGGGUAAAGGCUUACCAAGGCGACGAUCCGUAGCUGGUCUGAGAGGACGACCAGCCACACUGGGACUGAGACACGGCCCAGACUCCUACGGGAGGCAGCAGUGGGGAAUUUUGGACAAUGGGGGCAACCCUGAUCCAGCCAUGCCGCGUGCGGGAAGAAGGCCUUCGGGUUGUAAACCGCUUUUGUUCGGGAAGAAAUCCUCUGGGCUAAUACCCCGGGGGGAUGACGGUACCGGAAGAAUAAGCACCGGCUAACUACGUG
rnacentral:rRNA from 1 species